rnacentral:rRNA from 1 species
CGCGUAGGCGGAAAUGUAAGUGUUUUGUGAAAUCCCACGGCUUAACCGUGGAAUUGCUUGGCAAACUACAUUUCUUGAGGCAAGUAGGGGUGUGUGGAACUCUUGGUGGAGCGGUGGAAUGCGUAGAUAUCAAGAGGAACGCCGAAGGUGAAGACAGCACACUAGACUUGUCCUGACGCUGAGGCGCGAAAGCGUGGGGAGCAAACAGGAUUAGAUACCCUGGUAGUCC